GGCUGUGGCUCAGUGGCAGAGUCCUCACCUGGCAUCUGUGAGGCACUGGGUUCGAUCCUCAGCACCA
rnacentral:tRNA from 1 species